rnacentral:rRNA from 1 species
UACGUAGGGCGCAAGCGUGUCCGGAAUUAUUGGGCGUAAAGAGCUCGUAGGCGGCCUGUUACGUCUGCUGUGAAAUCCCGGGGCUUAACCCCGGGCGUGCAGUGGAUACGGGCAGGCUGGAGGCAGGCAGGGGAGAACGGAAUUCCCGGUGUAGCGGUGAAAUGCGCAGAUAUCGGGAAGAACACCAGUGGCGAAAGCGGACUUCUGGGUUGUUACUGACGCUGAGGUACGAAAGCGUGGGGAGCAAACGGG